GAACUUUUUUAAUGAUGUAUAUUUGAAGCCUUCGGGUUGAUGAUGUGCUGAUUUAUUAAGGUUAGCGGCAAACGGGUGAGUAACACGUGGGUAACGUACCUUAAGGAGGAGGAUAGCCUUGAGAAAUCAGGGGUAAUACUCCGUAAUCCCUUAUACCUGGAAUGGUAAAGGGCAAAGAUGGCCUCUACUUGUAAGCUAUCGCCAUAAGAGCGGCCCGCGUCCUAUCAGGUUGUUGGCAGGGUAAAAGCCUACCAAGCCUAAGACGGGUAGCUGGUCUGAGAGGAUGGUCAGCCACAUCGGGACUGAGACACUGCCCGGACUCCUACGGGAGGCUGCAGUCGAGAAUCUUUCACAAUGGACGAAAGUCUGAUGAUGCGACGCCGCGUGGGGGAUGAAGGUUUUCGGAUUGUAAACCCCUUUUAUUGAAGAGAAACUUUUAUGUUUCAAAUAGAGACAUAGGAUUGACUGUAUUCAAUGAAUAAGCCACGGCUAACUCCGUGCCAGCAGCCGCGGUAAUACGGAGGUGGCAAGCGUUACUCGGUUUGACUGGGUGUAAAGGGUCCGCAGGCGGCCAAAUAAGUGAAAGGUGAAAUCCUUCGGCUCAACCGGAGAAUGGCCUUUCAAACUGUAUGGCUCGAGGCUGGAAGAAGAGAGUAGAACUGCUAGUGUAAGGGUGAAAUCUGUGGAUAUUAGCAGGAAUGCCUGUGGUGUAGACGACUCUCUGGUCCAGACCUGACGCUCAGGGACAAAAGCUAGGGGAGCGAACAGGAUUAGAUACCCUGGUAGUCCUAGCUGUAAACGAUGGGCACUAGGUGUCUGUCCGUAAGGAUGGGUGCCGGAGUUAACGCGUUAAGUGCCCCACCUGGGGACUACGGCCGCAAGGCUAAAACUCAAAGGAAUUGACGGGGACCCGCACAAGCGGUGGAACACGUGGUUUAAUUCGAUACUACGCGCGGAACCUUACCAGGGUUUGACAUGCUAGAAGUAGUGCCCCGAAAGGGGUUCCGACCGGUAACCAGUCCGGUACUAGCACAGGUGCUGCAUGGUUGUCGUCAGCUCGUGCCGUGAGGUGUUCCCUUAAGUGGGAAAACGAGCGCAACCCUCGCCCUUUGUUGCCACUUCUGGUUUUAAAUCAGAAAGCACUCUAGGGGGACUGCCCGCGUUAAGUGGGAGGAAGGUGGGGACGACGUCGAAUCCGCAUGGCCCUUAUAUCCUGGGCUACACACGUGUUACAAUGCCUGUUACAAUGGGGGGCGAAGCCGUGAGGUGGAGCAAAUCUCAAAAAAGACAGGCUCAGUUCGGAUCGAAGGCUGCAACUCGCCUUCGUGAAGC
rnacentral:rRNA from 1 species